rnacentral:rRNA from 1 species
UGGGCGUAAGCGAGCGCAGGUGGUUUAAUAAGUCUGAAGUUAAAGGCAUUGGCUCAACCAAUGUAGGCUUUGGAAACUGUUAAACUUGAGUGCAGAAGGGGAGAGUGGAAUUCCAUGUGUAGCGGUGAAAUGCGUAGAUAUAUGGAGGAACACCGGUGGCGAAAGCGGCUCUCUGGUCUGUAACUGACACUGAGGCUCGAAAGCGUGGGUAGCGAACAGGAUUAGAUACCC